GAUGAACGCUGGCGGCGUGCCUAAUACAUGCAAGUCGAGCGAACAGAUGAGGAGCUUGCUCCUCUGACGUUAGCGGCGGACGGGUGAGUAACACGUGGAUAACCUACCUAUAAGACUGGGAUAACUUCGGGAAACCGGAGCUAAUACCGGAUAAUAUAUUGAACCGCAUGGUUCAAUAGUGAAAGACGGUUUUGCUGUCACUUAUAGAUGGAUCCGCGCCGCAUUAGCUAGUUGGUAAGGUAACGGCUUAUCAAGGCGACGAUGCGUAGCCGACCUGAGAGGGUGAUCGGCCACACGAGAACUGGGACACGGUCCAGACUCCUACGGGAGGCAGCAGUAGGGAAUCUUCCGCAGUGGGCGAAAGCCUGACGGAGCAACGCCGCGUGAGUGAUGAAGGUCUUCGGAUCGUAAAACUCUGUUAUUAGGGAAGAACAAAUGUGUAAGUAACUAUGCACGUCUUGACGGUACCUAAUCAGAAAGCCACGGCUAACUACGUG
rnacentral:rRNA from 1 species